GAUGAACGCUAGCGGCAGGCUUAACACAUGCAAGUCGAGGGGUAUAGUUCUUCGGAGCUAGAGACCGGCGCACGGGUGCGUAACGCGUAUGCAAUCUACCUUUUGCAGAGGGAUAGCCCAGAUAAAUUUGGAUUAAUACCUCAUGGUAUGUGAGAAUGGCAUCAUUUUCACAUUAAAGUCACAACGGCAAAAGAUGAGCAUGCGUCCCAUUAGCUAGUUGGUAAGGUAACGGCUUACCAAGGCAACGAUGGGUAGGGGUCCUGAGAGGGAGAUCCCCCACACUGGUACUGAGACACGGACCAGACUCCUACGGGAGGCAGCAGUGAGGAAUAUUGGACAAUGGGCGCAAGCCUGAUCCAGCCAUGCCGCGUGCAGGAUGACGGUCCUAUGGAUUGUAAACUGCUUUUGUACAGGAAGAAACACUGGUUCGUGAACCAGCUUGACGGUACUGUAAGAAUAAGGAUCGGCUAACUCCGUGCCAGCCGCCGCGGUAAUAC
rnacentral:rRNA from 1 species